AUUGAACGCUGGCGGCAGGCCUAACACAUGCAAGUCGAGCGGAUGAAGGGAGCUUGCUCCUGGAUUCAGCGGCGGACGGGUGAGUAAUGCCUAGGAAUCUGCCUGGUCGUGGGGGAUAACGUCCGUACACGGGCGCUAAUACCGCAUACGUCCUGAGGUAGAACGUGGGGGAUCUUCGGACCUCACGCUAUCAGAUGAGCCUAGGUCGGAUUAGCUAGUUGGUUAGGUAAAGGCCUACCAAGGCGACGAUCCGUAACUGGUCUGAGUGGAUGAUCAGUCACACUGGAACUGAGACACGGUCCAGACUCCUACGGGAGGCAGCAGUGGGGAAUAUUGGACAAUGGGCGAAAGCCUGAUCCAGCCAUGCCGCGUGUGUGAAGAAGGUCUUCGGAUUGUAAAGCACUUUAAGUUGGGAGGAAGGGAAGUAAGUUAAUACCUUGCUGUUUUGACGUUACCGACAGAAAAAGCACCGGCUAACUUCGUG
rnacentral:rRNA from 1 species